rnacentral:rRNA from 1 species
AGUGAACGCUGGCGGUAGGCCUAACACAUGCAAGUCGAACGGCAGCACAGUAAGAGCUUGCUCUUACGGGUGGCGAGUAGCGGACGGGUGAGGAAUACAUCGGAAUCUACUUUUUCGUGGGGGCUAACGUAGGGAAACUUACGCUAAUACCGCAUACGACCUACGGGUGAAAGCAGGGGAUCUUCGGACCUUGUGAGAUUGAAUGAGCCGAUGUCGGAUUAGCUAGUUGGCGGGGUAAAGGCCCACCAAGGCGACGAUCCGUAGCUGGUCUGAGAGGAUGAUCAGCCACACUGGAACUGAGACACGGUCCAGACUCCUACGGGAGGCAGCAGUGGGGAAUAUUGGACAAUGGGCGCAAGCCUGAUCCAGCCAUACCGCGUGGGUGAAGAAGGCCUUCGGGUUGUAAAGCCCUUUUGUUGGGAAAGAAAAGCAGCAGGUUAAUACCCCGCUGUUCUGACGGUACCCAAAGAAUAAGCACCGGCUAACUUCGUG